GGCCCAAAGGAGGGAACCCCCAGAGGCGGGAAACCCAGCAGGGAACGAGGCCGCGU
rnacentral:SRP_RNA from 11 species